CAUUCCGAACAGAGCAGUUAAGCCCAACAGCGCCGAUGGUACUGCGGUAAAACGUGGGAGAGUAGGUCGGUGCCGAUC
rnacentral:rRNA from 1 species